AAACCAGUCCGCUGUUCUGCUCCGUCCCGUUCAAUCUCAAGACUCCUCUCUCUCUAAAUAAAGAGAUGUCUCCCGACCCGACCUAACCUGCUGCUGGCUGCCCAGUGCCCACACACAGACACGCGCGCACGCACACACACACACACACACAUAGUCGCGCGCGCAAUAACAUCACAAGUCCGUAGCCUACCUUCCGUGUGACAGCUGGAGGAGAGGAUGGUGCUUGAGGGUCUGAAGAGGUAUACAGACGAGGAGGCAUACAAAGGUAUGUCAAUUGGUAUUUGGAAUAUUAUGCAGAUCACAUUUACCAUCCUCCCUUACCUCUUCAAUGAAUAUCCCAUAGGCCUCUACAUUAUGGACAAGACUUCACCCUCCCUACACCUCUGAUGAAUAUAACAGGAAACCUGUACGAUCACCAUGCACUGCAAAAUCAUUCUGGCUGUGGAUAAGGAGAACAUCAACACAUUAACAUCAACACACCAGAGGAUAUACCCAUUGGAUGUGGGUCUCUGCUGGGAGUUUACCUCAUAUUUGGAUUUUUAAAUUCUGCUUUACCACUAAAAUCAUAAGAAACACUGACAACUAAAAUAUUGUGCUAUUGUUGUUAUUGUUAUGUGUAUUAUUAUUAACAAUAAUAAUAAUAAUAGGGGGGGUAGUUAAAAAAUCUACCCCGAAAGGUUCUUUGAGGAACCAUUAAAAAAGGCAUUCUUUGAAGAAUCCUUUCUUUUAAAUGACUAAAUGUUGUUGUGAUCCUGUUGUGGACGCAAUUUAGUUUAUUUCGUUCAAACAAUCCUGUUUUUAAGCUCAAAAGACUGCACUCUCGGGAGAAUUUAAUAAUAAGAGAGAUGGACCGGCUCUCUCGUGGGACUCCUCUGAAAACACAGCAUAUGGCCAGCUACUGAUGAUGUUAUACAAGCAGGCUGUCUACUGGAGGCAUUAGAGUGGCAUGGGGUGCAUCUCUCCUGAGUCAUUAAAGGUGUGUGGUGUGUGGCAGCCACCCAGAUGUGUCCUUUAUUGGAGUGCAGUAUUGAAUAAUGACAUCCUACAAACAAUGACCAUGCAACGAGCAACUUUUUAUUCUCUGAAAGGCUUCUAUAUCAUUGUUUGAAACAUUACGCCAUAGGAAACUGCAACCAUUUAUAACUGUGGUACACCCAGUGUACAUAACGCAAAUAAUCUUGUCGGUCACAGAAAAUGAUCGAAUCCAACGAAGCAUAUGAUAAGGUGAUUAACUCUCUCCUCAGAGAGGAAUAGUCAUCACCAUCAUUAGUAGCUUGACACCACCACACACACCCUGGUGGGGAUCCAUCUACUAGGCUCUCAGGACUGGGUUUCCCCUACUGAUUAACAGGCAGAUCCAGUUCCCAUCAUUACUAAUGUAACAUUUUUUUUCCUAUUCUCCAGGGUGUGUCAGAAUCUGUCUGUUGCUCAUAUACAGUACCAGUCAAAAGUUUGGACACCUACUUAUUCAAGGGUUUUUCUUUAUUAAUAACAAACUAUGAAAUAACACAUAUGGAAUCAUGUAGUAACCAAACAACUGUUAAAAAAUCAAAAUAUAUUUUAGAUUCUUCAAAGUAGCCACCCUUUGCCUUGACAGCUUUGCACACGCUUGGCAUUCUCUCAACCAGCUUCACCUGGAAUGCUUUCCCAACAGUUUUGAAGGAGUUCCUACAAAUGCUGAGCACUUGGCUGUUUUUCCUUCACUCUGCGGUCCAACUCAUCCCAAACCAUCUCAAUUGGGGUGAGGUCGGGUGAUUGUGGAGGUAAGGUCAUCUGAUGCAGCACUCUAUCACUCUCCUUCUUGGUCAAAUAGCCCUUACACAGCCUGGAGGUGUGUUGGGUCAUUGUCCUGUUGAAAAACAAGUGAUAGUCCCACUAAGUGCAAACCAGAUGGGAUGAUGUAUCGCUGCAAAAUGCUGUGGUAGCCAUGAUGGUUAAGUGUGCCUUGAAUUCUAAAUAAAUAAUUUGCAGUGUCACCAGCAAAGCACCCCCACACCUCCUCCUCAAUGCUUCACGAUGGGAACUACACAUGCAGAGAUCAUCCGUUCACCUACUCUGCGUUUCACGAAGAUACAGAGGUUGGAACAAAAAAUCUCAAAUUUGGACUCAUCAGACGAAAGGACAGAUUUCCACCGGUCUAAUGUCCAUUGCUCAUGUUUCUUGGCCUUCUUCAUUUUGGUGUCCUUUAGUCGUGGUUUCUUUGCAGCAAUUCGACCAUAAGGGCCUGAUUCAUGCAGUCUCCUCUGAACAGCUGAUGUUGAAAUGUGUCUGUAACUUGAACUCUGUGAAGCAUUUAUUUGGGCUGCAAUUUCUGAGGCUGGUAACUCUAAUGAACUUAUCCUCUGCAUCAGAGGUAACUCUGGGUCUUCCUUUCCUGUGGCGGUCCUCAUGAGAGCCAGUUUCAUCAUAGCACUUGAUGGUUUUUGCACUUGAAGAAACUUUCAAAGCUCUGGAAAUGUUCCGUAUUCACUGACCUUCAUGUCUUAAAAUAAUGAUGGACUGUCAUUUCUCUGCUUUUUUGAGCUGUUCUUGCUAUAAUAUGGACUUGGUCUUUUACCAAAUAGGACUAUCUUCUGUAUACCACCCCUACCUUGUCACAACACAACUGAUUGGCUCAAAUGCAUUAAGAAGGAAAGAAAUUCCACAACUUAACUUUUAACAAGGCACACCUGUUAAUUGAAAUACUAUUCCAGGUGACUACCUCAUGAAGCUGGUUGAGAGAAUGCCAAGAGUGUGCAAAGCUGUCAUCAAGGCAAAGG